GUCUUCAUAGUUCAAUCACCAUCUCGGUUACCUCGGUACUUCAUCGCCGAUUGCGUAAUACGAAGAAUUUGGAAUUUGGAGUGUUUGAGAGGGGCGUAGAGGAGAAAAGUCGUAGAAGGAAUUAAGGAAAGAUAAAGAUGGCUGUGAUGGGUAAAUUGAGAAUGUUCGUAGUCCAAGAACCUGUCGUUGCUGCUUCUUGCCUCAUCGCCGGCGUUGGGCUCUUCCUCCCAGCAGUUGUAAGGCCUAUGCUAGACUCUUUUGAAUCAUCCAAGCAAGUCCCUCAACCUGCUCUAACUGAUGUGGUUGCUGGUAUGACUGGUAAAAAACAGGGGUAGAUGAUUGCAGAAUAGUUUGUGUAAUUUUAUCCCUUGAGAUUUCUGUGUUUUUUAUGGGAAUAAUAAGAUGGUGGUAUCUGUCUAUCGGAUAAUGCUGAGAUUUUGUAGUUGGAAAAUUUCCUCAUUUGCUGACGUAUAUGCUAUGCUACUCAAAGUCGAGAGAGAUUGCUAUUAAUAAUAAUAUUAUGUUUGUUAUAUUUGAGUGAA